rnacentral:rRNA from 1 species
UCGAGCGAAUCGACGGGAGCUUGCUCCCUGAGAUUAGCGGCGGACGGGUGAGUAACACGUGGGCAACCUGCCUAUAAGACUGGGAUAACUUCGGGAAACCGGAGCUAAUACCGGAUACGUUCUUUUCUCGCAUGAGAGAAGAUGGAAAGACGGUUUACGCUGUCACUUAUAGAUGGGCCCGCGGCGCAUUAGCUAGUUGGUGAGGUAAUGGCUCACCAAGGCGACGAUGCGUAGCCGACCUGAGAGGGUGAUCGGCCACACUGGGACUGAGACACGGCCCAGACUCCUACGGGAGGCAGCAGUAGGGAAUCUUCCGCAAUGGACGAAAGUCUGACGGAGCAACGCCGCGUGAACGAAGAAGGCCUUCGGGUCGUAAAGUUCUGUUGUUAGGGAAGAACAAGUACCAGAGUAACUGCUGGUACCUUGACGGUACCUAACCAGAAAGCCACGGCUAACUACGUGCCAGCAGCCGCGGUAAUACGUAGGUGGCAAGCGUUGUCCGGAAUUAUUGGGCGUAAAGCGCGCGCAGGUGGUUCCUUAAGUCUGAUGUGAAAGCCCACGGCUCAACCGUGGAGGGUCAUUGGAAACUGGGGAACUUGAGUGCAGAAGAGGAAAGUGGAAUUCCAAGUGUAGCGGUGAAAUGCGUAGAGAUUUGGAGGAACACCAGUGGCGAAGGCGACUUUCUGGUCUGUAACUGACACUGAGGCGCGAAAGCGUGGGGAGCAAACAGGAUUAGAUAC